rnacentral:rRNA from 1 species
GAUGAACGCUGGCUACAGGCUUAACACAUGCAAGUCGAGGGGAAGCGACGGGGAAGCUUGCUUCCCCGGGCGUCGACCGGCGCACGGGUGAGUAACGCGUAUCCAACCUGCCUCUGACUGAGGGAUAACCCGUCGAAAGUCGGCCUAAUACCUCAUGGCAUCGUCUGCGGGCAUCCAACGACGAUUAAAGAUUUCAUCGGUCAGAGAUGGGGAUGCGUCUGAUUAGCUUGUUGGCGGGGUAACGGCCCACCAAGGCGACGAUCAGUAGGGGUUCUGAGAGGAAGGUCCCCCACAUUGGAACUGAGGCACGGUCCACACUCCUACGGGAGGCAGCAGUGAGGAAUAUUGGUCAAUGGGCGAGAGCCUGAACCAGCCAAGUAGCGUGCAGGAUGACGGCCCUAUGGGUUGUAAACUGCUUUUAUGCGGGGAUAAAGUGAGGGACGUGUCCUUCAUUGCAGGUACCGCAUGAAUAAGGACCGGCUAAUUCCGUG